GACGAACGCUGGCGGCGUGCUUAACACAUGCAAGUCGAACGGAAAGGCCCUGCUUUUGUGGGGUGCUCGAGUGGCGAACGGGUGAGUAACACGUGAGUAACCUGCCCUUGACUUUGGGAUAACUUCAGGAAACUGGGGCUAAUACCGGAUAGGAGCUCCUGCUGCAUGGUGGGGGUUGGAAAGUUUCGGCGGUUGGGGAUGGACUCGCGGCUUAUCAGCUUGUUGGUGGGGUAGUGGCUUACCAAGGCUUUGACGGGUAGCCGGCCUGAGAGGGUGACCGGCCACAUUGGGACUGAGAUACGACCCAGACUCCUACGGGAGGCAGCGGUGGGGAAUAUUGCACGAUGGGCGGAAGCCUGAUGCAGCAACGCCGCGUGCGGGAUGACGGCCUUCGGGUUGUAAACCGCUUUCGCCUGUGACGAAGCGUGAGUGACGGUAAUGGGUAAAGAAGCACCGGCUAACUACGUG
rnacentral:rRNA from 1 species